rnacentral:rRNA from 1 species
AUUGAACGCUGGCGGCAGGCCUAACACAUGCAAGUCGAGCGGAGCGGCGGACGGGUGAGUAAUGCCUAGGAAUCUGCCUGGUAGUGGGGGAUAACGUCCGGAAACGGGCGCUAAUACCGCAUAAUAUCAGAUGAGCCUAGGUCGGAUUAGCUAGUUGGUGGGGUAAAGGCCUACCAAGGCGACGAUCCGUCACUGGUCUGAGAGGAUGAUCAGUGAAACGGGAACGGCGACACGGUCCAGACGCCGACGGGAGGCAGCAGUGGGGAAGAUUGGCCAAUGGGCGAAAGCCUGAUCCAGCCAUGCCGCGUGUGUGAAGAAGGUCUUCGGAUUGUAAAGCACUUUAAGUUGGGAGGCGUUACCAACAGAAGAAGCACCGGCUAACUUCGUGCCAGCAGCCGCGGUAAUUC